UGAGUGUGAAAGAUAAUCGCGGCUGGCCUAGAGCCAGGUGAGGAAAGUCCGAGCUCCAUAGGGCAGGAUGCUGGAUAACGUCCAGCGAGGGAAACCUUAGGGCUAGUGCCACAGAAAUGAGGACCGCCUACUUUUGUAGGUAAGGGUGGAACGGUGCGGUAAGAGCGCACCAGCAGUCUGGUGACAGGCUGGCUAGGUAAACCCCAUCCGGAGCAAGACCAAAUAGGGGAGGGAUGAUGUUGCCCGCUGAGCCUCCCGGGUUGCGUCGCUUGAACUUGGCAGUAAUGUCAAGUCUAGAUAAAUGAUUAUCACCUCGUAAGAGGAACAGAACUCGGCUUAUUGAUCACUCAUCUU
rnacentral:RNase_P_RNA from 1 species